GGACAUUUCUCCUCCCCAGCCCCAUGGACACCCCUAUUGCUGUUAUGUUGUGUUUAUAGCUACAUGUUGUGAAUGAUUUAGUUGACUUUUUCUUCAAAUAUCGCUUAAUAAACAUGAAGCGUGACUGGACUAACUAGCUAGCUAACGACAGCAGCAGUUACCGUGGGGUGCGCGAGGAUGGGCGCCGUUGACUUUGCGGAGUGUCAUUAUUGUAACUUUUGUAACGUUUUUACACCGGUCAGAUUUCAAAUCAUUCAGAAGACGCACUAAUGCUGGAGUCCAAAGGCAGCAAACAGGGAGAAGCGGGCUGAUAAAUAUGAGGUUUUGACUGAUCGCUAACCCUACCAUCCAGCUGCUGAACAGGACCGGUACGUUGGCCCUACAUCCUUACAGUACACGAGGACGCACAUACAGUGCAGUGGACACAGUGCUUGCUUUGAGCCAGAGACUCUGCCUAUGGAGAUGGAGCUGCCUGUUGCGCCAACACAAGCUAGAGUCUCUAGAGGAAAUGUGGGAGAUGCGGCGUCUCCAAGACGAGGUCUACUGUCUCUCUCUGGCUGCAGACCAGGAGAAGGUUCUGUGUUCCUGCCGGGGGCGAUUGGUAUAGCUUACCGCGUUCACUGGCUGUUUGGCCGGGCGGCCAGCUCGAGGAAGAGUCUUCGUGGUUCCAAACUUCUUCCAUUUUAGAAUGAUGGAGGCCACUGUGGUCUUGGGACCUUCAAUGCUGCAGCAAUUCUUUGGUACCCUUCCCCAGAUCUGUGCCUCGAAACAAUCCUGUCUCGGAGCUCCACUGACAAUUCCUUCGACCUCAUGUCUUGGUUUUUGCUCUGACAUGCACUGUCAACUGUGGGACCUUAUAUAGACAGGUGUGUGCCUUUCAAAAUCAUGUCCAAUCAAUUGCAUUUACCACAGGUGGACUCCAAUCAAGUUGUAGAAACAUCUCAAGGAUGAUCAAUGGAAACAGGAUGCACCUGAGCUCAAUUUCGAGUCUCAUAGCAAAGGGUCUGAAUACUUAUGUAAAUAAGGUAUCUGUUUUUUAUUUUUAAUACAUUUGCAAAAAUGUCUAAACCUGUUUUUUGCUUUGUCAUCAUGGGGUUUUGUGAUGUCAUUAUGGGGUAUUGUGAUGUCAUUAUGGGGUAUUGUGUGUAGAUUGAUGAGGAUUUGUAUUUAUUUACUCCAUUUUAGAAUAAGGUUGUAACGUUACAAAAUGUGGAAAAAGUCAAG
rnacentral:lncRNA from 1 species